rnacentral:lncRNA from 1 species
AGGGAGCUACCAUUUGUUUUUUAUGGGGGUGCUAGGAUGAAAUUUGAAAAAAAUAGGCAGGACAGGAAUUUUGAGUAAAAAAAAAGGCAGGAUGACAAUUUAGGUAAAAAAAGUCAGGAUAAACUAAAAAAAAAAAGGCAGGACCGAAUAGAGUGAAAAAUAAAAAGGCAGGACAGAGAUUACAACUAAAAAAAAUGCAGGACAAAAUUUUUCAUCCUAGUCCCCCAUAAAAA